rnacentral:lncRNA from 1 species
AGGAGAGGCAGGGCUUGCGCGGCGUCUGGGAAGAGUGCAAUCUGGGGGGACGCCUCCCGUCCCCCCAGCGCAGAUGCAUGACUGGGGCUUGAUGUGGGUCCCUGGGCAGAGGCGUCGUGGAGACGAGAGAAGAUGCUGCCCCGGCCCCCUGAUUGGUGAGCCGCUCAUCUGACUGAUGAGUGAGGUGGAGUAACCCCACUGGCUUCAACGAGACACUCGAAUCACAGAGGAUGAUUGCAGAAGGGGGAAAGGACUUUAAACCUAUGUCACACCCUGUUGCCCCAGUGACUCCUGUCUUGGGGAGCUUACGAUGCUUGUGCAACUGAAGAAUCUGUUUUCUGAGAGUGUUGGGAUUGUAUUGCUCGCGUAUUUCUCCCCACAAGUCAACAACAAACGAGAAUUCUUGCAGAAAAAUAAAAGACGGUAGGAAUC